ACUGAACGCUGGCGGCAGGCCUAACACAUGCAAGUCGAACGGUAACAGGAAGCAGCUUGCUGCUUUGCUGACGAGUGGCGGACGGGUGAGUAAUGUCUGGGAAACUGCCCGAUGGAGGGGGAUAACUACUGGAAACGGUAGCUAAUACCGCAUAACGUCGCAAGACCAAGAGGGGGACCUUAGGGCCUCUUGCCAUCGGAUGUGCCCAGAUGGGAUUAGCUAGUAGGUGGGGUAACGGCUCACCUAGGCGACGAUCCCUAGCUGGUCUGAGAGGAUGACCAGCCACACUGGAACUGAGACACGGUCCAGACCCCUACGGGAGGCAGCAGUGGGGAAUAUUGCACAAUGGGCGCAAGCCUGAUGCAGCCAUGCCGCGUGUAUGAAGAAGGCCUUCGGGUUGUAAAGUACUUUCAGCGGGGAGGAAGGGAGUAAAGUUAAUACCUUUGCUCAUUGACGUUACCCGCAGAAGAAGCACCGGCUAACUCCGUG
rnacentral:rRNA from 1 species